CCAAAAUGGCCGUUUUGUAGGCGUCCACAGCUUCUUCAGUUUUACUGCAUUACAGCCACAUCUUGUUAUGCCCUAGAAGAAGGUGAAGAAGGUAAAUAAGGUUUUCCGAUGUCUGAGGGCAGCAGCGACCACUGUCUGUCGCCAGUCGCUUGCCGGACGCAUGCAUUUUAUCUAUUGAUGCAACAACAAAAAGCUUAAAACAAUAAACGCUGUUUUUUUGGA